AAGUGAAGCCAGCUUCCCUGGAGCCUGCUGGUCACAGAGAAGGGAGUUUGAACAACGUUUUCAAUUGGCUGGGAAAGGACAGUAGAUCAAAAGAUAGCCUUCCGCCCAUUGGCCCGGAGUUGCUAGGGCUGAGAGCAAAAGUGGAGCCAUUGGCUGGAGUCCAUAGCAGGAAUCUCGACGUUCUCUUUUCCUAGAACUGCGUGGGAGCUCAGGCUUAGAAAUGGUGCAGUGGGGUACGCGCACUGUGAUCAGAGAAAGAUGAGACUAUGAAAGAAAGGUCAGAGGGAGAUGCAAUGUUGAUGCUUUGAAGAUAGAGGAAGAAGGUCACAAGUCAAGAAACGUGGGAAGCCUCUAGAAGUUGAAAAAGUCAAGGAAACCGUCUCCCUUAGAGCCUCUGGAAAGAAAUACAGCUGUACUAAUGCCUUGAUUUCAGGAUCUUCAUUCGAGGACCUGAACUGCAGGAGCAGCCUCUCUGUGAGACAUACUGGCUCCUGGCUAAACCACAGGAUGCUUCUUAAAGCUUCUGCUCAGAUGUGAGGCAUACGUCACUCGUGCAUAUGUCCCGUAGACCAAAGCAAGUCAUGAGGCUAAACACAACCCUUUCAUAUGCAGAGCAACAAAUAAUAGGGAACAAGGAUACAAUCAAUGUACCCGCUGUGUGCUCCCCCGGAAUGCUGCAACCAGAAGGGCUUAUCCUUGCAUCUCUGUCCAUUCAAAACUCUAUUUUAUUGUUGGAUUAUAUCUGAGACUUAACAUGA